rnacentral:rRNA from 1 species
UACGUAGGGUCCGAGCGUUGUCCGGAAUUACUGGGCGUAAAGAGCUCGUAGGUGGUUUGUCGCGUUGUCCGUGAAAACUCACAGCUUAAACUGUGGGCGUGCGGGCGAUACGGGCAGACUGGAGUACUGCAGGGGAGACUGGAAUUCCUGGUGUAGCGGUGGAAUGCGCAGAUAUCAGGAGGAACACCGGUGGCGAAGGCGGGUCUCUGGGCAGUAACUGACGCUGAGGAGCGAAAGCGGUGGGGAGCGAACAGG